UAUAUAUAUAUUUUUAUUGUGCUUUAGGUGAAAGUUUAGAGAGCAAAUAAGUUUCUAAUUUAACAGUACACAAUUGUUUUAUGACAUUGGUUGCCAACCCUGUAUAUGUCAACACCCUCCCCUUUCUGGGAUAUUUUCUUGAAAAUUUCACUGAUUUUUCUCCCCUUUCUGGGAACUCUUUAUUUGGAUGUUGGACCUACUACACUAGUCCUCGAGUUUUCUUUUUCUCCCUCUUAUUUCCAUUUAUUUGCCUUUUUGCUCUACUUCCUAGAUUUUCUCAGGUUUAUCUCCACCCCUUUUAUUGAAAUUUUCCUUAUCUUUUCAACUUCUCUAAACUGUUAUUCAUCAGAAUGUUUAAUUUUUCUAAACUCUAUCCUUAUUUCAUGGUUGCAAUUUGUCUUAUUUAUCUCAGGGUAUGUUUAAUAAUCUUUGUUGUUUCCAAGUUCCUUUUUUCCCAUUUUUAUUUUAGCCCCUGUCAUAUUAAGAGGUUUUCCUCAGGUUUUUGGUUUUCUGCUCAUUCAAGAGCAAAAGAUCCAAAAAAUGAUUGGAAAUUCAGAGAAUUUCCAGCAUCACUGGUGUGUUCUCUUAGGCUACUCAGCUUCCUCAGAGGAGAGUCUUCCAUUCUUCCAGGAGGAUAAAGGUCUGCCUUUCAGUGUUCUGGGAGACUAGUGGUAGAGGCUGGGUGAGGAGAAGGAUUCAGACUGUAUAUAUUCACUCAAUCCUUUGUUUUUAAUACAGUGCCCCUCCUUCAACUCUGCUUGUGUUUCCCAUUCCAGAGACCCUCUUACUAUUUCUAGAGGAUAAACCUCCUUUCUUUUACCUGGAUAGGUAUAGGAUAGCUUUCACCAGUCUUCCUUAUUUUAGUUCCUUCCCAACAUUAAGGUGUGCUCUUAAUCGUUUCCCCCGCCCCCUUACGUUGGGGGUGACUUAAUUAGAUUUCUAUACCUAAAGAGAGACUAGGUGUGGUAAGCAGAAUCAUAAAACCAGUCACUGUCGAGUUGAUUCCAACCCAUGGCAACCCCACGUGUGUCAGCAUAAAACUGCUCCAUAGAGUUUUCAAUGGCUGAUUUUUUGGAAUUAAUUCGCCAGGAUUCUGAGGUUCCCCUGGGUGGAGUCGAACUUUUGGUGCGUUAACUGUUUGUACCUCUGUGGGUGCUUUCCCUCCCACCCCCAUAUCCCAGUCCCGGAAAUCUGUGAAUGUUACUUUAUAUGGCACAAGGAACUUUGCAGGUAAGAUUAAGAAUCUUGAGAUGGGGAGAUUAUCCUGGAUUAUCCAGGAGCGCCCAGUGUAAUCAACAAGGGUCCUUAUAAAGGGGAAGCAGAAGGGUCAGAGUCAGAGAAGGUGAUGUGACCACAGAAGUACAGGUCCAACUGAUGGUGGGGAACCGUGAACCAAGGAAUGCAAGCAGCCUCUAGAAGCUGGAAAAGACAAGGAAAUGAAUUCUUUUCUAGAGCCUCCAAAAGGAACACAGCUUUGCCAGUUCAUCUUGGACUUCUCACCUCUAAUCCAAAAACCUGUUGCCGUCAAGUUGAUUCCAUCUCAUAGAACUGCUACCCUAGGGUUUACAAGGAGCCGAUGGUAGAUUAGAACUGCCAACCUUUUGACACUAUGAUUCUACACGUAGAGACAUCAAAGCAGCUGCUGGAAUCUGAGCUGACCAAAGCAUGCAUUCUGGAAGUAGUUUUUAAUACAGUUCUCAAGUUCUUUUCUUAACCUAUUUCUAAAACAAUACAGAACGAUUUGGAGGUGUGCGUAAGUGUUGUUACAGGCAGUUCCUGGAUUACGAACAAGUCUGUUCCUAGAUCCUGUCUUUAAGUCCAAUUUGUACGUAAGCCAGAACAGUUACAGUUACGUACGGUUCAUAUUUAAAGUCAGUCAAAUGUUUGUCUUAGUGUACAGUAUAUAGUGUACCUUUCUGUGCAUAAAAAACAUUAAACACUUCCAGAUACACUAAAAUAUCUUUAACAUAGUAAUACAGUAGUAUCAAAGUAGUGCCCAUUUGUUGUUGUUAUGUAUUAUUGUAUGUACCUUGACUUUUUAAUAUAACAGGCUUUACUGGGGUUGGUUCAUAACUACAAGUUGUACAUAAGUCAGACAUUUGUAACCCAGGGACUGCCUGUUUAUCAAAAUACAUGCUGUCUUACAUCAUAUGAGACUUCUUUGCAUGUAGUACAGUAUGCAGGUAGAAAGCAGUGGUUUAUUAAAACUCAUUGCCAUUGAGUCUAAUUUGACUUACAGUGAUCCUACAGGACAGAGUGGAACUGCCUCAUAGGGUUUCCAAGGAGCAGCUGGUAGAUUUGAACUGCCAACCUUUUGGUUAGCAGCUGAGCUGUUAAGCAGUGCACCACCAGGGUUCCCCUUUAAAUCUAGUGGUAGAGACUUUUUUCUUUUUUUUUAUGUCGUGAUGUUUUCUUUAGGGAAGGUCUUUUCCUCUGAUAGGUAGUAACCACCAGGGGAAAAUAACAGGCCAUUGAGGAAUGGAGUUAAUAAACAGCAGUGUUUAAUGUUCAUACCUCUGUGUUUAACAUGAUUUUACUUAAAUAAUUUUGGGUUAAAAAAACAAGAAACCCCCAGAAAAUAAGUUAAAUGAGAUAACUGAAUUUUAUUUACAACCAUUUCCAUUAAAUACAUCACAUCUUAAGGACAGGUGAUAACUUAUCUAAAGGCUAAGCUCAUUUUCUUCAGGCUGUGGGUAGAAGACUUCCCCGAAGUAGCAGUGACUUUGUUGAUAUGAAUGAUGAUUGAAGCUUUCAAGGAAGGCAAGAAUUGCUGCAGGAAUUCUUUUCUUCUUUUUGAAAAAUUUAAAAUGUGAAGCAGGAAUUUUAUAGCUUCACAUACUCCAAACUACCAUUCACAUACAAAUAAAAGUGUGUCUUCUAGGGAGACACAGGCACAGUUAGUUUUUCAAAUAUUAUAGCCCUGGAAACUUUUUAUUUGGGAAAUCUAAACUGAGACAACUGCUCAACUCAAUAACUUCUGCCAUUAAUAUGUACACUUCAACUGCCAAAAACUGUGACUUUCAAUUUCUUGCAAAAUGCACUAUAGGACAAAGCUGUGUUAUCAAGGAGAAAAAAAAAUUGCAUGCAGAAUAUACUUUAUUAAUAGUUUUUAAACAGAUAUUAGCCAAUAAGCACAUAUGUAUCAACAGUAGCAACUUUUAUGCCUCUUUAUCUUGUCUGAUUAUUCUGUAUACUAAAAGUUAUAUAGUCUGUGUACUAAACAAUCUGAUUACAUAUUCUGUAUGCUUGUUGUUGGCCAGUAGGCUAGAAGUUGCUAAUUUUCAUUCCUCUGCCACCAAGAAAAGCAUGAUUUGUUACUAUGGAAAAGAAAUUGAAAUACUCAGGUACUUUUUAAAAAAUACGUAUAUAAAAGGCCUGAUUUUUCUCCCAGUAACAACUAAAUGUUUGCUUUCUAAACUUCUUUUUUUUUUUAAGGGACGUUUACUAGAACGCCUUUGAUGAACACUAUUUUUCCCAGAAAAAAAAAAUGCCACCAUCUAUAUUAUAAUAUUUUUGGGGAUAUAUAAUCCCCUAUUUUUGAUAUCUUCAAGAUUUUUUACAUCAUGAGGCAUCAUUAUGAUCUUACCUUAUUGUUAUCUAAAGGAGAACUAAUCAUUUUUAUUUGCCUUAUAAAAACAAUUUUACUGGCUGAAUAUUUAAUCUUGUUAAUUUUGUCGUAUUCUUCUUUUAGUCUAGUCUAAUUCAAAAGGAUCCUGAUACUAUGAUGUAAAGCUCAGUUUUUCUAGUCCAAACAAGCUGUCAAGACCCAUAAGCUAUUUGGCUGAUCAAGUUGGAGGCAUUAACUUUUUUGUUCUGUACCUAAACUGUGUAGUUACACAGAAUUUAUCAAAACAGAAUAAAGACGAAGUCAUUUAAAUGGAUUACUAAUGAUUCUGACUUGUAAGUUAGGGAAGCUUCUUGCGUUUAACCUUAAAGCCCUUGAAGGUCCCCAGAGAAAGGAGAUGAAGACAGUUUGACAUGAUCACUGCCAAUUAGGUUAUAGGUUCUAUCCUAUUUCCUUUCAUCAGAAUUGCUCUUAGAGCUAGAUGUCAUCAUUAGCAUGUUGUAGCCAAUGAUGUACAAGAUAUGUACAAGAACAUAUAUGUAAUCAGAGCUAGGCAAGUCUUUGGAGGUCCUUAACCAGGUUAAAAUUAAAAAAAAAAAAGAUUGGGAAAGAAGUCUAAACCAACAUGUUACUCAGCUUUGAAGGUGAAACCAAGGAUGGUUUCCAUUGUAACAAACAGACAAAUCUAAAGCUCAUAAGCAGAUUUUUUUUUUUAAGUCCACUAGAUAGUAUUACUAGCUAUAUAGGGAAUUUGGAGCUAUAGAUUACGGAUACAUGUGUAAAUUUCCCCAUUCAAGACUAACUGCUUUACAAAGCGGUCCUGGGAUUCAGCUGCUCCAGUGUUAGGAAAGCAGCCAGGCCCACCACAAUUCAACCUCAUUUCUCACUUAACUCUGUUCAUUUGAAAUAUUACCCAUUAAUACUAAUUUUCUGAAAUAUUAUUUAGCAGAUCACACCAGCACAAUGGAACCUUCACUGCAGCUUUUGGCAGGUGAAAAAGUUUUUUUUUUUUUUUCUUACUGUACAGAAUUUAUAGAUAGUAUAUGUGACCCCCCCUUCCCCAUGAGAAUUAUGCAUGUUAUAGUUAGCCAGUCACAUAUCCAAAUAUAUAUGUACAUACAUAUAUAUGCACAAAUACGUUAAAAUCAUUUAAGAAUUAUAUAAAAUUGUACAUUAACAUGAAGAACCAUAAAGAGUGCACUAAAUGUAAGUACAGAGAAAAUUCAUGCAGAGACCGUCCAGUGAAGUACACAGCCUGUGAGAUACAUAUGUUUGUUUUAAGUUUAUUUUUUUAUUUCCUGCAGGACAGUAACAUACCUUUGCCUUCCUACAGACAAAAUUUCUAAAAAUUUGGACACUGCCCACUGCAUUAAAUUUAAAAUGUUCCCUACAUAUAUAAACCUAAGUGGCCUACAUAUAUAGACAGUAAAAAUAAGCAAAAAAAAAAAAA